rnacentral:rRNA from 1 species
UACGUAGGGUGCGAGCGUUGUCCGGAAUUAUUGGGCGUAAAGAGCUCGUAGGCGGUGUGUUACGUCGGCCGUGAAAACCUGCAGCUUAACUGUGGGCGUGCGGUCGAUACGGGCAUCACUGGAGUUCGGCAGGGGAGACUGGAAUUCCUGGUGUAGCGGUGAAAUGCGUAGAUAUCUGGAGGAACACCGAUGGCGAAGGCAGGUCUCUGGGCCACUACUGACGCUGAGAAGCGAAAGCAUGGGGAGCGAACAGG